rnacentral:rRNA from 1 species
CUACGGGGCGCUCCAGUGAGGAAUAUUGCGCAAUGGGCGAAAGCCUGACGCAGCGACGCCGCGUGCGGGAUGAAGGCCUUCGGGUCGUAAACCGCUGUGGCCCCGCAAUAUUGCGGGGCUAGAAAGUGCCUGCUAACUACGUGCCAGAAGCCUCGGUGAUACGUAGGGCACAGGCGUUAUCCGGAUUUACUGGGCGUAAAGAGUUUCGUAGGCGGUAAUACAAGUGUAUGGUGAAAGGCUGAGGCUCAACUUCAGAACUGCCUUACAAACUGUAUUACUAGAGAGUAUUAGAGGAGACUGGAAUUCUCGGUGGAGCAGUGAAAUGCGUUGAGAUCGAGAAGAACACCAAAGGCGAAGGCAGGUCUCUGGGAUACUUCUGACGCUGAUGAACGAAAGCUAGGGUAGCGAAAGGGAUUAGAUACCCUUGUAGUC